rnacentral:rRNA from 1 species
UGAGGAACAUGACCAUCGGCGGGGGAUAGCCGGCCCAACGGCCGGGUAAUACCGCGUACGACCACAUGGGGACAUCCCUGAGUGGUGAAAGCAGCAAUGCGCCGAUGGAGUGCCUCGCGGCCUAUCAGCUAGUUGGUGAGGUAACGGCUCACCAAGGCGACGACGGGUAGCUGGUCUGAGAGGAUGGCCAGCCACAUUGGGACUGAGACACGGCCCAGACUCCGUACGGGG